rnacentral:rRNA from 1 species
CCUACGGGAGGCAGCAGUGGGGAAUAUUGGACAAUGGGGGGAACCCUGAUCCAGCGACGCCGCGUGAGUGAAGAAGUAUUUCGGUAUGUAAAGCUCUAUCAGCAGGGAAGAAAGAAAUGACGGUACCUGACUAAGAAGCCCCGGCUAACUACGUGCCAGCAGCCGCGGUAAUACGUAGGGGGCAAGCGUUAUCCGGAGUACGGGGGGUAAAGGGAGCGUAGACGGCGAUGCAAGUCUGAAGUGAAAGGCGGGGGCCCAACCCCCGGACUGCUUUGGAAACUGUAUGGCUGGAGUGCAGGAGAGGUAAGUGGAAUUCCUAGUGUAGCGGUGAAAUGCGUAGAUAUUAGGAGGAACACCAGUGGCGAAGGCGGCUUACUGGACUGUAACUGACGUUGAGGCUCGAAAGCGUGGGGAGCAAACAGGAUUAGAUACCCGAGUAGUC